GUACACUCCUGCGGGAGGCAGCAGUGGGGAAUAUUGGACAAUGGGCGCAAGCCUGAUCCAGCCAUGCCGCGUGAGUGAUGAAGGCCCUAGGGUUGUAAAGCUCUUUCACCGGUGAAGAUAAUGACGGUAACCGGAGAAGAAGCCCCGGCUAACUUCGUGCCAGCAGCCGCGGUAAUACGAAGGGGGCUAGCGUUGUUCGGAUUUACUGGGCGUAAAGCGCACGUAGGCGGACUAUUAAGUCAGGGGUGAAAUCCCGGGGCUCAACCCCGGAACUGCCUUUGAUACUGGUAGUCUUGAGUUCGAGAGAGGUGAGUGGAAUUCCGAGUGUAGAGGUGAAAUUCGUAGAUAUUCGGAGGAACACCAGUGGCGAAGGCGGCUCACUGGCUCGAUACUGACGCUGAGGUGCGAAAGCGUGGGGAGCAAACAGGAUUAGAUACCCGUGUAGUCCCA
rnacentral:rRNA from 1 species